rnacentral:rRNA from 1 species
ACAUGUCUUAAGGAAAAUAAUUUUAAGUCUGGUCUGCUCCAUGAUUAAUUAAUUAAAUAGCUGCAGGAUUUAUUGUACAAAGGUAGCAUAAUCAAUAGUUUUUUAAUUAAAAGCUUGAAUGAAUGAUUUGAUAAGGUAAAUAUUNGUCUCAAAAUUAUUAAAUUUAUAAUUUUAUUUUUAGUUAAAAAUCUAAAAUAAAUUUAAAAGACGAGAAGACCCUAUAGAUUUUUACAAUUAAAUUAAUAAUAUAUUUAAAUAAUAAUAUAAAAUUUUAAAUAAAAUUGUUAGAUUGGGGAAAUUAUUAAAUUAAUAAAAUUUUAAUAUUUAUAUAACUUAAAUUAAUGGGCUGAUGAUCUUAAAUUUUUAAAAUAUUAGAAUAAAAUACCUUAGGGAUAACAGCAUAAUUUUUUUGGAGAGAUCUUAUUGAUAAAAAAGUUUGUGACCUCGAUGUUGAAUUAAGAUAAAAUAUUAAAGAAGAAUUUAAUAAAUUUUGGUCUGUUCGACCAUUAAAAUCUUACGUG